ACACUUCUGGGGUUAAUGAGUGUAAGUUUUACAAGUAUGUGUGAGAUGGGCCUCCCUCCAAUCUUCUUAUGACAUUGACACCUUACUCAUCUGGUA
ensembl:snoRNA